UGGGGAAUAUUGCGCAAUGGGCGAAAGCCUGACGCAGCAACGCCGCGUGAGUGAUGAAGGCCUUCGGGUCGUAAAGCUCUGUCGGAGGGAACGAAUGCUCUUGAGGUUAACAGCCUCGGGAGGUGACGGUACCCUCAAAGGAAGCACCGGCUAACUCUGUGCCAGCAGCCGCGGUAAUACAGAGGGUGCAAGCGUUGUUCGGAAUUACUGGGCGUAAAGCGCACGUAGGCGGAUUUGUAAGUCAGGGGUGAAAUCCCGGGGCUCAACCUCGGAACUGCCCUUGAUACUGCAAAUCUCGAGUCCGAUAGAGGUGAGUGGAAUUCCUAGUGUAGAGGUGAAAUUCGUAGAUAUUAGGAAGAACACCAGUGGCGAAGGCGGCUCACUGGAUCGGUACUGACGCUGAGGUGCGAAAGCGUGGGGAGCAAACAGGAUUAGAUACCCUCGUAGUCCCUGAGCGGGCUGGCAAGGCGCAU
rnacentral:rRNA from 1 species